rnacentral:rRNA from 1 species
CCUACGGGAGGCUGCAGUGAGGAAUAUUGGUCAAUGGACGCAAGUCUGAACCAGCCAUGCCGCGUGCAGGAAGACGGCUCUAUGAGUUGUAAACUGCUUUUGUACGAGGGUAAAUCCCGAUACGUGUAUCGGGUUGAAAGUAUCGUACGAAUAAGGAUCGGCUAACUCCGUGCCAGCAGCCGCGGUAAUACGGAGGAUUCAAGCGUUAUCCGGAAUGACUGGGCGUAAAGGGUGCGUAGGUGGUUUGGCAAGUUGGUAGCGUAAUCCCGGGGCUCAACCUCGGUGCUACUACCAAAACUGUUGAACUUGAGUGCAGGAGGGGUGAAUGGAAUUCCCAGUGUAGCGGUGGAAUGCGUAGAUAUUGGGAAGAACACCAGCGGCGAAGGCGAUUCACUGGACUGUAACUGACACUGAGGCACGAAAGCGUGGGGAGCAAACAGGAUUAGAUACCCUAGUAGUC